rnacentral:rRNA from 1 species
GACGAACGCUGGCGGCGUGCUUAACACAUGCAAGUCGAACGGAAAGGCCCUGCUUUUGUGGGUUUCUCGAGUGGCGAACACGUGAGUAACACGUGAGUAACCUCCCCUUGGCUUUGGGAUAACUUCAUUAAACUGGAUCUAAUACCGGAUAUGAGCUCCUGCGGCAUGUUGGGUGUAUGAAAGUGUCGGUGUUUGGGGAUGGACUCGAGGCUUAGCAGCUUGUUGGUGGGGUAGUGGCUUACAAAGGCUUUGACGGGUAGCCGGACUGAGAGGGUGACCGGCCACAGUGGGACUGAGAAACGGCCCAGACUGCUACGGGAGGCAGCAGUGGGGAAUAUUGCGAGAUGGGCGGAAGCCUGAUGCAGCAACGCCGCGUGCGGGAUGACGGCUUUCGGGUUGUAAACCGCUUUCGACUGUGAAGAAGAGUGAGUGACGGUAAUGGGUAAAGAAGCAACGGCUAACUACGUG